rnacentral:rRNA from 1 species
UACAGAGGGGGCAAGCGUUAUUCGGAAUUAUUGGGCGUAAAGGGCGCGUAGGCGGCCUGGCAAGUGGGAGGUGAAAUCCCUCGGCUUAACCGAGGAACUGCCUCCCAAACUGCUUGGCUUGAGACCGGGAGAGGUGAGUGGAAUUCCCAGUGUAGCGGUGAAAUGCGUAGAUAUUGGGAGGAACACCAGUGGCGAAGGCGGCUCACUGGACCGGUACUGACGCUGAUGCGCGAAAGCGUGGGGAGCAAACGGG